rnacentral:rRNA from 1 species
CUAUACAUGCAAGUCGAACGCUUCUUUUCCCACCGGAGCUUGCUCCACCGGGAAAAGAGGAGUGGCGAACGGGUGAGUAACACGUGGGUAACCUGCCCAUCAGAAGGGGAUAACACUUGGAAACAGGUGCUAAUACCGUAUAACAAUCGAAACCGCAUGGUUUCGUUUUGAAAGGCGCUUUACGGUGCCGCUGAUGGAUGGACCCGCGGUGCAUUAGCUAGUUGGUGAGGUAACGGCUCACCAAGGCCACGAUGCAUAGCCGACCUGAGAGGGUGAUCGGCCACAUUGGGACUGAGACACGGCCCAAACUCCUACGGGAGGCAGCAGUAGGGAAUCUUCGGCAAUGGACGAAAGUCUGACCGAGCAACGCCGCGUGAGUGAAGAAGGUUUUCGGAUCGUAAAACUCUGUUGUUAGAGAAGAACAAGGGUGAGAGUAACUGUUCACCCCUUGACGGUAUCUAACCAGAAAGCCACGGCUAACUACGUGCCAGCAGCCGCGGUAAUACGUAGGUGGCAAGCGUUGUCCGGAUUUAUUGGGCGUAAAGCGAGCGCAGGCGGUUUCUUAAGUCUGAUGUGAAAGCCCCCGGCUCAACCGGGGAGGGUCAUUGGAAACUGGGAGACUUGAGUGCAGAAGAGGAGAGUGGAAUUCCAUGUGUAGCGGUGAAAUGCGUAGAUAUAUGGAGGAACACCAGUGGCGAAGGCGGCUCUCUGGUCUGUAACUGACGCUGAGGCUCGAAAGCGUGGGGAGCAAACAGGAUUAGAUACCCUGGUAGUCCACGCCGUAAACGAUGAGUGCUAAGUGUUGGAGGGUUUCCGCCCUUCAGUGCUGCAGCUAACGCAUUAAGCACUCCGCCUGGGGAGUACGACCGCAAGGUUGAAACUCAAAGGAAUUGACGGGGGCCCGCACAAGCGGUGGAGCAUGUGGUUUAAUUCGAAGCAACGCGAAGAACCUUACCAGGUCUUGACAUCCUUUGACCACUCUAGAGAUAGAGCUUCCCCUUCGGGGGCAAAGUGACAGGUGGUGCAUGGUUGUCGUCAGCUCGUGUCGUGAGAUGUUGGGUUAAGUCCCGCAACGAGCGCAACCCUUAUUGUUAGUUGCCAUCAUUUAGUUGGGCACUCUAGCAAGACUGCCGGUGACAAACCGGAGGAAGGUGGGGAUGACGUCAAAUCAUCAUGCCCCUUAUGACCUGGGCUACACACGUGCUACAAUGGGAAGUACAACGAGUCGCGAAGUCGCGAGGCUAAGCUAAUCUCUUAAAGCUUCUCUCAGUUCGGAUUGUAGGCUGCAACUCGCCUACAUGAAGCCGGAAUCGCUAGUAAUCGCGGAUCAGCACGCCGCGGUGAAUACGUUCCCGGGCCUUGUACACACCGCCCGUCACACCACGAGAGUUUGUAACACCCGAAGUCGGUGAGGUAACCUUUUUGGAGCCAGCCGCCUAAGGU